GUAGUCCUAGCCCUAAACGGUGCUUGCUUGCUGUAAGAGGAAUCGACCCCUCUUGUGGCGGAGCUAACGCGUUAAGCAAGCCGCCUGGGAAGUACGGUCGCAAGAUUAAAACUCAAAGAAAUUGACGGGGGCCUGCACAAGCGGUGGAGUAUGUGGCUUAAUUCGAUGCAACGCGAAGAACCUUACCUGGCCUUGACAUGCAAGUAGUAGAACCCUGAAAGGGGGGACGAGGUAGCAAUACCAGCUUGCACAGGUGCUGCAUGGCUGUCGUCAGCUCGUGUCGUGAGAUGUUGGGUUAAG
rnacentral:rRNA from 1 species